rnacentral:rRNA from 1 species
GCGGGAAACUAGCCUCAAGAUGAGAUCUCACUGGGAACUUGAUUCCCCUGAAGGGCCGUCGAAGACUACGACGUUGAUAGGUCGGGUGUGUAAGCGCUGUGAGGCGUUGAGCUAACCGAUACUAAUUGCCCGUGAGGCUUGACCAUAUAACACCCAAACAAUU